GAUGAAGAACGCAGCGAAAUGCGAUAAGUAAUGUGAAUUGCAGAAUUCAGUGAAUCAUCGAAUCUUUGAACGCACAUUGCGCCCCCUGGUAUUACGGGGGGCAUGCCUGUUCGAGCGUCAUUUCACCACUCAAGCCUCGCUUGGUAUUGGGCAACGCGGUCCGCCGCGUGCCUCAAAUCGACCGGCUGGGUCUUCUGUCCCCUAAGCGUUGUGGAAACUAUUCGCUAAAGGGUGUUCGGGAGGCUACGCCGUAAAACAACCCCAUUUCUAAGGUUGACCUCGGAUCAGGUAGGGAUACCCGCUGAACUUAAGCAUAUCAAUAAGCGGAGGA
rnacentral:misc_RNA from 1 species